GUAUUUCUACGCAAUCAUUGUUCACAAAUCAUCUAAUUAGUGAUUAAGUAAUUAAAUGCAUUAAGAACAACAUUAAAAUCAACACAUAAAACAUUAAAGUACUAGAAUCUUAAUUCAACGAAAUAAAGGGUUCCAAAAGAUUACAUUGUUCGCCCUAAUUUUGAUUUAGCUACGCAUAAUAAUGAAAGAAAAAACAAGUUUAUUAGGAAAUUUAUCACCGGGUCAAUUGAUGGAACGUAAAUAAUUUGCAAGACUGAAUCUGCCGUCUUUUGCCGUGUCUGCUUCCUUUCAAUUUCAGCCUCGUCUUGUGUGUGUGAUUAGCAGCCUCAAUUUUUUACUUUAAUCAACCCCAAAGCUGCUGUCAAUUAAUUCCCAGACAAACUCCCAGCUACUGCCCUCAAAAUAUGUGCGUAAAUAAGAAUAAUGAUGCAGCAACCAGCAGCUUUCAAUUUCUCCUCUCUGGCUUUCUGUGCAUGUAUAUAUAGAGAGGGGUAAUUAGCACAAAACGUCCCUACCUUUCGAUGUUUUUGUGGAAAACGUCCCUACCUUUCAUUUUUUGACGGAUUACACCCUUACCUUUACCUUUUUUUGCUCAAAACGUCCUUCUGUCAACUCUCCGUUAAAAUGCUCCGUUAAAUCAAAAAGGUAAUUAGCACAAAAGGUCCCUACCUUUUAAAGUUAUUGUACAAAACGUCCCUAUCUUUUAUUUUUUAGCAUAAUUAGCAGAAAAGGUCCCUACCUUUUAAUAUUAUUGUGCAAAACGUCCCUACCUUUCAUUUUUAGCAUUUUUACCCCUACAUUUCACCUUUCAUUGCGCAAAAGGUCCUUUUCAUCCAUUUUUUCAAUAAAACGACGAUUUUACUCUCCUAUUAAAAUAAAACAAAAAGAAAAGAUGAUUACCAACUGCAAUCAUAGUCCUUAAAUUUUUAAAAAAUUACAAAAAAAUCAUAAAUUCUCAACCACCACCAUUUUCACAACCUAUCAAGUUGCCAACUAUAAAUUCACAUAAUACCACCUUUCGACCACCAUGCCCACCAGACUCCACCACCAUAAAUGUGGUUGUUUCGGACAGAUUGGUGACCAAUACUAUGGAGGAGGAUAUUGGGGAGAGUGAGGCGAUGCUGUUGGUGGUGGAGUCCGAUAGGUGUUGUGGUCGAAAAGUGGUGCUAUAUGGAUCUAUAGGUGGUGGCUUGGUGGGGUUGUGAAAGUAGCGGUAGUGGAGAAUUUAGGAUUUAUCUGUAAUGUUUUGAAAGAUUUAGAACUAUGAUUGCAAUUAAUUAAUUUUUUUUCUUUUCUUUUUGUUUUAUUUCAAUAGGAGGGUAAAAUCGUCAUUUUAUUGAAAAAUGGAUGAAAAUGACCUUUUGCGCAAUGAAAGGUGAAAUGUAGGGGUAAAAAUGCUAAAAAUGAAAGGUAGGGACGUUUUGCACAAUAAUAUUGAAAGGUAGGGACCUUUUCUGCUAAUUAUGCUAAAAAAUAAAAUGUAUGGACGUUUUGUACAAUAACUUUGAAAGGUAGGGACCUUUUGUGCUAAUUACCUUUUUGAUUUAACGGAGCAUUUUAACGGACAGUUGACAGAAGGACGUUUUGCGCAAAAAAAGGUAAAGGUAAGGGUGUAAUCCGUCAAAAAAUGAAAGGUAUGGACGUUUUCCACAAAAACAUCGAAAGGUAGGGAUGUUUUCUGCUAAUUACCCUAUAGAGAGAGAGUUUAUCCCCCAGCCAAUUUUUCUGUGCGUGUAUAGGUAUCCUCCCAAGAAGAAAAAUUGGUAGCCACAAUAAUUAUCUCCAAAAGGACUUCUCUCUUUUCUCCCAGCAGCCGCCGAAUUUUUUUCUCUCCAG
rnacentral:lncRNA from 1 species